GGGCACUCUAGCGAGACUGCCGGUAAUAACCGGAGGAAGUGGGAUGACGUCAAAUCAUCAUGCCCUUACUGACCUGGGCGUACACACGUGCUACAAUGGUUGGUACAACGAGUUGCGAGUCGGUGACGGCGAGCUAAUCUCUUAAAGCCAAUCUCAGUUCGGAUUGUAGGCUGGCAACUCGCCUACAUGAAGUCGGAAUCGCUAGUAAUCGCGGAUCAGCACGCCGCGGUGAAUACGUUCCCGGGCCUU
rnacentral:rRNA from 1 species